ACACACUGGAACUGAGACACGGUCCAGACUCCUACGGGAGGCAGCAGUGGGGAAUUUUGGACAAUGGGCGCAAGCCUGAUCCAGCAAUGCCGCGUGCAGGAUGAAGGCCUUCGGGUUGUAAACUGCUUUUGUACGGAACGAAACGGCUUCUUCUAAUAAAGGGAGCUAAUGACGGUACCGUAAGAAUAAGCACCGGCUAACUACGUGCCAGCAGCCGCGGUAAUACGUAGGGUGCGAGCGUUAAUCGGAAUUACUGGGCGUAAAGCGUGCGCAGGCGGUUAUAUAAGACAGAUGUGAAAUCCCCGGGCUCAACCUGGGACCUGCAUUUGUGACUGUAUAGCUAGAGUACGGUAGAGGGGGAUGGAAUUCCGCGUGUAGCAGUGAAAUGCGUAGAUAUGCGGAGGAACACCGAUGGCGAAGGCAAUCCCCUGGACCUGUACUGACGCUCAUGCACGAAAGCGUGGGGAGCAAACAGGAUUAGAUACCCUGGUAGUCCACGCC
rnacentral:rRNA from 1 species